AGAAGACAGACGUCCAUCUCAAGAAUAUCCUGACAGUGUAACAUGGCCUCUCUCUCUCUGUCCCUGGGACUGCUGGUGCUAUGCACCCUGGCUCUUGUACACUGUGACCUGCAUAACAGCCCCAUCAGGGUGUGGGGUAUUCGUGCCUCCAACCUGAAAGGACGCUUUUUCUCAAAACCAGACCCCUACGUCAAGGUGUGGUGCGGUUCAUCCUUUCAUGGCAAGAGCAGCAUUCUGAAAAAACAGGUAAACCCCACCUGGCCCAGCGAGUUCAACUUUGCUAACAUCCUUCCCAACUCUGUCCUG